GUGUUCUCUCCGCAGCUGAAUAAACCGUGUUAAUUUGAUUAUUAUUUUUUCAUCUUAUAUCUGUAUUGUUAGAAUGAGAAUUAAUUUUUGUUCAGUUAUUGAAGCACCUAUAUUGCAGAUAAGUGGAAGUUGCAUAAUAUGUUUCUCAGGUGGUCGCUUGCUCUCUAGAGGUAGAUAAUACACGCCUGUGGAAUAAACUUUUUCAGAUGUACAAUUUUUCUUCUUGUACAUCAUAGUUUGUCAAAAUUAAGAAUAAAAAAAAAUGAAGAUAUGGA